rnacentral:rRNA from 1 species
CCUACGGGGGGCAGCAGUGAGGAAUAUUGGUCAAUGGGCGGGAGCCUGAACCAGCCAAGCCGCGUGAGGGAAGAAGGUACAGCGUAUCGUAAACCUCUUUUGUCAGGGAACAAAGGCGGGGACUAGUCCCCGGAUGAGGGUACCUGAAGAAAAAGCAUAGGCUAACUCCGUGCCAGCAGCCGCGGUAAUAGGGAGGAUGCGGGCGUUAUCCGGAUUUAUUGGGUUUAAAGGGUGCGCAGGCGGCCCGGUAAGGCAGAGGUAAAAGCACGGGGACCAACCCCGGCGAGCCGUAGAAACUGGGGGGG